rnacentral:rRNA from 31 species
UUAAGCGACUAAGCGUACACGGUGGAUGCCCUGGCAGUCAGAGGCGAUGAAGGACGUGCUAAUCUGCGAUAAGCGUCGGUGAGGUGAUAUGAACCGUUAUAACCGGCGAUUUCCGAAUGGGGAAACCCAGUGUGUUUCGACACACUAUCAUUAACUGAAUCCAUAGGUUAAUGAGGCGAACCGGGGGAACUGAAACAUCUAAGUACCCCGAGGAAAAGAAAUCAACCGAGAUUCCCCCAGUAGCGGCGAGCGAACGGGGAGGAGCCCAGAGCCUGAAUCAGUGUGUGUGUUAGUGGAAGCGUCUGGAAAGGCGCGCGAUACAGGGUGACAGCCCCGUACACAAAAAUGCACAUAUUGUGAGCUCGAUGAGUAGGGCGGGACACGUGGUAUCCUGUCUGAAUAUGGGGGGACCAUCCUCCAAGGCUAAAUACUCCUGACUGACCGAUAGUGAACCAGUACCGUGAGGGAAAGGCGAAAAGAACCCCGGCGAGGGGAGUGAAAAAGAACCUGAAACCGUGUACGUACAAGCAGUGGGAGCCUCUUAAUGGGGUGACUGCGUACCUUUUGUAUAAUGGGUCAGCGACUUAUAUUCUGUAGCAAGGUUAACCGAAUAGGGGAGCCGAAGGGAAACCGAGUCUUAACUGGGCGUUAAGUUGCAGGGUAUAGACCCGAAACCCGGUGAUCUAGCCAUGGGCAGGUUGAAGGUUGGGUAACACUAACUGGAGGACCGAACCGACUAAUGUUGAAAAAUUAGCGGAUGACUUGUGGCUGGGGGUGAAAGGCCAAUCAAACCGGGAGAUAGCUGGUUCUCCCCGAAAGCUAUUUAGGUAGCGCCUCGUGAAUUCAUCUCCGGGGGUAGAGCACUGUUUCGGCAAGGGGGUCAUCCCGACUUACCAACCCGAUGCAAACUGCGAAUACCGGAGAAUGUUAUCACGGGAGACACACGGCGGGUGCUAACGUCCGUCGUGAAGAGGGAAACAACCCAGACCGCCAGCUAAGGUCCCAAAGUCAUGGUUAAGUGGGAAACGAUGUGGGAAGGCCCAGACAGCCAGGAUGUUGGCUUAGAAGCAGCCAUCAUUUAAAGAAAGCGUAAUAGCUCACUGGUCGAGUCGGCCUGCGCGGAAGAUGUAACGGGGCUAAACCAUGCACCGAAGCUGCGGCAGCGACACUAUGUGUUGUUGGGUAGGGGAGCGUUCUGUAAGCCUGUGAAGGUGUACUGUGAGGUAUGCUGGAGGUAUCAGAAGUGCGAAUGCUGACAUAAGUAACGAUAAAGCGGGUGAAAAGCCCGCUCGCCGGAAGACCAAGGGUUCCUGUCCAACGUUAAUCGGGGCAGGGUGAGUCGACCCCUAAGGCGAGGCCGAAAGGCGUAGUCGAUGGGAAACAGGUUAAUAUUCCUGUACUUGGUGUUACUGCGAAGGGGGGACGGAGAAGGCUAUGUUGGCCGGGCGACGGUUGUCCCGGUUUAAGCGUGUAGGCUGGUUUUCCAGGCAAAUCCGGAAAAUCAAGGCUGAGGCGUGAUGACGAGGCACUACGGUGCUGAAGCGACAAAUGCCCUGCUUCCAGGAAAAGCCUCUAAGCAUCAGGUAACAUCAAAUCGUACCCCAAACCGACACAGGUGGUCAGGUAGAGAAUACCAAGGCGCUUGAGAGAACUCGGGUGAAGGAACUAGGCAAAAUGGUGCCGUAACUUCGGGAGAAGGCACGCUGAUAUGUAGGUGAAGCGACUUGCUCGUGGAGCUGAAAUCAGUCGAAGAUACCAGCUGGCUGCAACUGUUUAUUAAAAACACAGCACUGUGCAAACACGAAAGUGGACGUAUACGGUGUGACGCCUGCCCGGUGCCGGAAGGUUAAUUGAUGGGGUUAGCGGUAACGCGAAGCUCUUGAUCGAAGCCCCGGUAAACGGCGGCCGUAACUAUAACGGUCCUAAGGUAGCGAAAUUCCUUGUCGGGUAAGUUCCGACCUGCACGAAUGGCGUAAUGAUGGCCAGGCUGUCUCCACCCGAGACUCAGUGAAAUUGAACUCGCUGUGAAGAUGCAGUGUACCCGCGGCAAGACGGAAAGACCCCGUGAACCUUUACUAUAGCUUGACACUGAACAUUGAGCCUUGAUGUGUAGGAUAGGUGGGAGGCUUUGAAGUGUGGACGCCAGUCUGCAUGGAGCCGACCUUGAAAUACCACCCUUUAAUGUUUGAUGUUCUAACGUGGGCCCCUUACCGGGGUUGCGGACAGUGUCUGGUGGGUAGUUUGACUGGGGCGGUCUCCUCCUAAAGAGUAACGGAGGAGCACGAAGGUUGGCUAAUCCUGGUCGGACAUCAGGAGGUUAGUGCAAUGGCAUAAGCCAGCUUGACUGCGAGCGUGACGGCGCGAGCAGGUGCGAAAGCAGGUCAUAGUGAUCCGGUGGUUCUGAAUGGAAGGGCCAUCGCUCAACGGAUAAAAGGUACUCCGGGGAUAACAGGCUGAUACCGCCCAAGAGUUCAUAUCGACGGCGGUGUUUGGCACCUCGAUGUCGGCUCAUCACAUCCUGGGGCUGAAGUAGGUCCCAAGGGUAUGGCUGUUCGCCAUUUAAAGUGGUACGCGAGCUGGGUUUAGAACGUCGUGAGACAGUUCGGUCCCUAUCUGCCGUGGGCGCUGGAGAACUGAGGGGGGCUGCUCCUAGUACGAGAGGACCGGAGUGGACGCAUCACUGGUGUUCGGGUUGUCAUGCCAAUGGCACUGCCCGGUAGCUAAAUGCGGAAGAGAUAAGUGCUGAAAGCAUCUAAGCACGAAACUUGCCCCGAGAUGAGUUCUCCCUGACUCCUUGAGAGUCCUGAAGGAACGUUGAAGACGACGACGUUGAUAGGCCGGGUGUGUAAGCGCAGCGAUGCGUUGAGCUAACCGGUACUAAUGAACCGUGAGGCUUAACCUU